rnacentral:ncRNA from 1 species
GCAGAGUAGGAAGACGCAUGUUCAAGCGCCGGCGGAACGGGGAGUUGUCCGUCGGAGGAAAGGCGACCGAGUCACCUGCAUUACGUUUUCCGCAUCCCGCUGC